AAUAAGUACAGUUUUAUACUAUUCACGGUUUGACCAUUCGUCUUAUUUGAAAAAUAAAAUUAGUAUUUUUAUUGCUAUUAGAUGAUAAAACAUGAAUAGUACUUUAUGUGUGACUAAAUAUUUUUAAAAUUUUCACAAAUUUUACAAAUAAGACGGACGGUCAAACGUUGGGCACGGAUAUCCACGGCUGCACUUAUU
rfam:Oryza glaberrima chromosome 11 Oglab11_0050_2, whole genome shotgun sequence.